rnacentral:rRNA from 1 species
GACGAACGCUGGCGGCGUGCCUAAUACAUGCAAGUCGAGCGCAGGAAACUGGCGGAACUCUUCGGAGGGAAGGCAGUGGAGUGAGCGGCGGACGGGUGAGUAACACGUAAGGAACCUGCCUCAAGGAUUGGGAUAACUCCGAGAAAUCGGAGCUAAUACCGGAUAGUUCAACGGACCGCAUGGUCCGCUGAUGAAAGGCGCUCCGGCGUCACCUUGAGAUGGCCUUGCGGUGCAUUAGCUAGUUGGUGGGGUAACGGCCCACCAAGGCGACGAUGCAUAGCCGACCUGAGAGGGUGAUCGGCCACACUGGGACUGAGACACGGCCCAGACUCCUACGGGAGGCAGCAGUAGGGAAUCUUCCACAAUGGACGAAAGUCUGAUGGAGCAACGCCGCGUGAGUGAUGAAGGUUUUCGGAUCGUAAAACUCUGUUGUAAGGGAAGAACACGUACGAGAGGGAAUGCUCGUACCUUGACGGUACCUUACGGGAAAGCCACGGCUAACUACGUGCCAGCCGCCGCCGUAA